rnacentral:rRNA from 1 species
GACGGCCGUACCAUGCUGAAUAUACCGGUUCUCGUUAGAUCACCGAAGUUAAGCAUCAUUGGGCGUGGUCAGUACUUGGGUGGGUGACCACCUGGGAACACUGCGUGCCGUU